GCCGAGAUAGCUCAAUGGUAGAGCAACUGUAUCGUAAACAGUAGGCUGCGGGUUCAAAUCCCGCUCUCGGCUCAA
rnacentral:tRNA from 1 species